CGCGUAGGCGGUCAGUGCAAGUCAGUUGUGAAAUCUCCGGGCUUAACUCGGAACGGUCAACUGAUACUGCGCGACUAGAGUGCGGAAGGGGCAACUGGAAUUCUCGGUGUAGCGGUGAAAUGCGUAGAUAUCGAGAGGAACACCUGCGGCGAAGGCGGGUUGCUGGGCCGACACUGACGCUGAUGCGCGAAAGCCAGGGGAGCGAACG
rnacentral:rRNA from 1 species